rnacentral:misc_RNA from 1 species
GAUGUAUUUGUCCACUAUUCAGCCAUUCAAUCUGAAGGUUACAAAUCAUUAGAAGAAGGUCAAGAAGUAACGUUC